rnacentral:rRNA from 1 species
UACAGAGGUCUCAAGCGUUGUUCGGAUUCAUUGGGCGUAAAGGGUGCGCAGGCGGUUUGCGAAGAUGGAUGUGAAAACCCUGGGCUUAACCUGGGAAUGGCAUACAUGACUCGCAGACUAGAAUAUAGCAGAGGGAGGUGGAAUUCCAUGUGUAGCAGUGAAAUGCGUAGAGAUAUGGAGGAACACCGAUGGCGAAGGCAGCCUCCUGGGCUAAUAUUGACGCUCAGGCACGAAAGCGUGGGGAGCAAACAGG